rnacentral:lncRNA from 1 species
GGCUAAAAAGCACUGGGAGCAUCAAAUAAAUCAUUCUGCAGGCAAACAACAGCUCAUCUGAAAUUUUGACCUUCCUGACUUCAAAGAAGGAGCUGACAUAUAAAUAAGCAGAAGGUAUGUAUCUCUUGAAUUUUUUUUUCUAAAUUGAUGCUCCAAAG